rnacentral:misc_RNA from 1 species
UACGGAGGGUGCAAGCGUUAUCCGGCAUCAUUGGGUUGAAAGGGUCCGUAGGCGGGUCGAUAAGUCAGUGGUGAAAGUCUGCAGCUCCACUGUAGAACUGCCAUUGAUACUGUCGUCCUUGGGUUAUUGUGAAGUGGUUGGAAUAUGUAGUGUAGCGGUGAAAUGCAUAGAUAUUACAUAGAACACCGAUUGCGAAGGCAGAUCACUAAUAAGAUACUGACGCUGAUGGACGAAAGCGUGGGUAGCGAACAGG